rnacentral:rRNA from 1 species
UUGGAGGGCAAGUCUGGUGCCAGCAGCCGCGGUAAUUCCAGCUCCAAUAGCGUAUAUUAAAGUUGUUGCAGUUAAAAAGCUCGUAGUUGAAUUUCGGGGUCAGUAGGUCGGUCGUGCCACUGGUAUGAACUGGUUUUACUGAUUCCUCCCUCUUGAAGAACUGUAAUGCCAUUAAUUUGGUGUUGCAGGGAAUCAGGACUGUUACUUUGAAAAAAUUAGAGUGUUUAAAGCAGGCUUUAGCUUGAAUACAUUAGCAUGGAAUAAUGAAAUAGGACGUUUGAUCCUAUUUUGUUGGUUUCUAGGAUUGACGUAAUGAUUAAUAGGGAUAGUUGGGGGCAUUAGUAUUCGAUUGUCAGAGGUGAAAUUCUUGGAUUUAUUGAAGACUAACUACUGCGAAAGCAUUUGCCAAGGAUGUUUUCAUUAAUCAAGAACGAAAGUUAGGGGAUCGAAGACGAUCAGAUACCGUCGUAGUCUUAACCAUAAACUAUGCCGACUAGGGAUCGGAUGAUGUUAAUUUUUUAAUGACUCAUUCGGCGCCUUACGGGAAAC